UACGGAGGAGGCAAGCGUUAUCCGGAAUUAUUGGGCGUAAAGAGUCCGUAGGUGGCCAUUCAAGUCUGCUGUUAAAGCGUGGAGCUUAACUCCAUACCGGCAGUGGAAACUGAGUAGCUAGAGUUCGGUAGGGGUAGCGGGAAUUCCUAGUGUAGCGGUGAAAUGCGUAGAGAUUGGGAAGAACAUCGGUGGCGAAAGCGAGCUACUGGACCGAAACUGACGCUGAGGGAAGAAAGCUAGGGGAGCGAAAGGG
rnacentral:rRNA from 1 species